UUUCUCAAUGGGGGAAACCCUGAAGGAGCGACGCCGCGUGGAGGAUGAAGGUUUUCGGAUCGUAAACUCCUGUCAUUGGGGAACAAAUCUACGGGGAGUAACUGCCCUGUAGCUGAUAGUACCCGAAGAGGAAGGGACGGCUAACUCUGUGCCAGCAGCCGCGGUAAUACAVARGUCCCAAGCVUUGUUCGGAUUCAUUGGGCGUAAAGGGUGCGUAGGCGGCAAGGUAAGUYGGAUGUCAMAUCCCGGGGCUUAACCCCGGAACUGCAUUCAAUACUGCUUUGCUAGASUAUUGGAGAGGAGAUUGGMAUUCACGGUGUAGCAGUGAAAUGCGUAGAUAUCGUGAGGAAGACCAGUGGCGAAGGCGAAUCUCUGGACAAUAACUGACGCUGAGGCACGAAGGCUAGGGGAGCAAACGGGAUUAGAUACCCCGGUAGUCCUAGCAGUAAACGGUGCGCGUUUAGUAUGGGAGGAUUCGACCCCUUCCGUGCUGGAGCUAACGCGUUAAACGUGCCGCCUGGGGAGUACGGUCGCAAGAUUAAAACUCAAAGAAAUUGACGGGGGCCCGVACAAGCGGUGGAGUAUGUGGCUUAAUUCGAUGCAACGCGAAGARUCUUACCUGGCCUUGACAUGSAUKUGUAAGUCGGUGAAAGCCGGCGAGUGURGCAAUACACDACUUGCACAGGUGCUGCAUGGCUGUCGUCAGCUCGUGUCGUGAGAUGUUGGGUUAAGUCCCGCAACGAGSGCAACCCCUGUGAUUAGUUGCCACCCGGCCGCGAGGUCGGAGCACUCUAGUCAGACUGCCCUGUGAAACGGGAGGAAGGUGGGGAUGACGUCAAGUCGGGAUGGCCCUUACGGCCAGGGCUGCACACGUACUACAAUGCUCAGUACAGAAAGAACCGAGACCGCGAGGUGGAGGAAAUCAUUAAAACUGAGCCCAAUUCGGAUUGUAGGCUGCAACUCGCCUACAUGAGGCCGGAAUCGCU
rnacentral:rRNA from 1 species